ensembl:lncRNA
UGUAAAGCCUCUACUCAGCUGUAUUUUUGUUACUAAUUUAUGUUUGUUGUUGUUUAACACAGAUUUCAGAAGAGCAAAGAUGAGCACUGUUGCUUAAUCCUUAAUAGUUUAAGUGGAUUGGAAAUAAAAAAAUUCCAGAUUUUUCUUCCACAGAAGUUUCAUUCGUCAGUGUGAAGAGGGAGCUGCAGUGAGGACACAGCCUGGUCACUGAGGUCAGAGGUCAGAAUCUGAAACAGCUCAGGUUUAUAUUCUAGGGUUUAUAAAAAAAAUCGAAAUGUAUUUAUAAAGAAGUCUUUAAAUAAUAUUUUAAUUAAUAGUCAUAAUUAUGAUUAUUAUUAGAAAUAUCAAACAUUUAAGUGGAUUUUCUGUCACACGUAUUGUCUUAGCCCUGCGAUAACUGGCAGCCUGUCUUUGUCCUGUAUCAGCUGGGAUAGGCUUCACCCUCCCGCGACCUUGAAUUGGAUACAUUGUAUUCCAAUUAUGUAAUCUGAUCAUUUACAAACUCAAGGUAUCCAAUCAAAAUGUAAGUAAUAAUGAUAAAAAUGGGAAAGCAGAAAUAAGUGUGACAUGAAUGUAAAUGUGUUAGCUGACAUAGAGGACAGCUACAUGUAGUCUGAAAAACCUUUGUUGUCAAGUUUGCAGGUCUAUCACGAGACAUUCUAAGUCUCUAACUCAGUGAAGCAUUAUUGGUCCCGUCUGUUUGGAUAAAUAUAGUAAGUUGAUGUUUGUCCAUUUAUUGACACAUUUUCUUAAGUGCUUAUCCAGUUCAGGAUCACAGUGGAGCUGCAGCUGGAUAUGUUCAGUAAAGAAACCUUACAAAAGUUAACAAUAUACCUGCAUCUCUGUACGUUGUUGUCCACAGGAUGAGAAAAUCGAACUGGAAGACUGUGGAACAUGUUAAUAAAUGUUUGUGUGUUUAUGCCUGUGUCUUUCACAGGAGGCGCUGAAAGGUUUCCCUAAUAGUUCCUGGUGAAUCAAAGCAGGACCAUAAAGGUUGCUGGACUGCAUGAUGGCCUUACCCCUGAGCAGUCAUCCUGUUAAAGGAGGAACCAGUUAGAAGCUGUUUUCAAAGUAGCUGAGCAGAUUUCAUCUCAAGUAAACGAUUAACUGUUUGUUUGUUUGUUCUGCCACUUAAAGAGCAUUUAAGGACGUCUUUUGAGUGUCCAGUUGAAUUAAUUCUACUGGCUCUCAUGGUCAUUUGUGAUUAUGGACAUAUUUUUCAUGUUCAUCCAGCUAUUUAGUAAAUUCUAUCUAUUUAGUAAUAUCUGUCAGCUAUAAAAUAUAAUAUAAAUAUAAAAAUAUCUAAAUAUCUCCUGCCCUUUAUAUUUUAAUGAUGUAAGACCAGAUCUCUGUUAUUGUGUUAUAUUAGCAUUCCUCACAUAUCAAUGAGAUGCUGUACAGUACAAUCUUAGUGACACAGCAGAGGGAUAACGACGGCUAUUCAACAUCGUUACACAACACAUUCGAGCUGCAUGAUGCAGACAAAGUGACUAACUCAUCUUUUUGUGGUUUAUUGUCUUCAAACCAGCAGACAAAGCUGAUGGCAGAAGAUGUUUGGAGAAGAACUUCAGGCCGUGGACUGAAAAGCUCAAAGCAGCUCGUGCUCUGUCUGCUUCCAUUCUGAUGGCAAGAAGAAGAAGAAGAAGAAGAAGAAGAAGAAGAAGAAGACUUCAGCGAAGUGGCGUUCAUGGUCUCAGUGGACAGUCAUGGUCACACACUACAUGUGGUUUUAAAAGCAACAUUGUUCACCACAACAAUGGAGAUGUGUAAUAUUAGUGCAGCUACAGUUUGUUCUUGAACAUCAGUUCUGUUUUCUACUUUGACCACUUAGACCAAAAAAGUGUUGUUUUCAGAUUCUUUCUUUUAAAUCUAUAAAGCACCUGC